rnacentral:misc_RNA from 1 species
GAUGAAGAACGUAGCGAAAUGCGAUAAGUAAUGUGAAUUGCAGAAUUCAGUGAAUCAUCGAAUCUUUGAACGCACCUUGCACUCCUUGGUAUUCCGAGGAGUACGCCUGUUCGAGUGUUAUGAAGCUCUCAAAACGCAAUUGGCUUAAAACCUGAUUGUUGUUUUGGAUUUGAACUUUGCCGUGUUAUAACGGCUGGUUUAAAAAGUAUUAGCUGGUACUAGAACGAAUUGGUUCUACUCAACGUGAUAAUUAUCUGAUCGUUGAGGACAUUCCUUUCACGAGGAAUGGCCAUAGUAAAUUCAAUGGACUGCUUCUAAUCUGGCUUUAAUUCUUUAUUGGAUUAACCACUUUUCAAAUCUGACCUCGAAUCAGGUGGGACUACCCGCUGAACUUAAGCAUAUCAAUAAGCGGAGGA